rnacentral:rRNA from 1 species
AACGUAGGGGACGAGCGUUAUCCGGAUUUACUGGGCGUAAAGCGCAUGUAGGUGGCGCGGAAAGUUGGACGUGAAAGCUCCCGGCUUAACUGGGAGAGGUCGUACAAAACUUCCGAGCUUGAGGUUGGAAGAGGAGAGCGGAAUUCCCGGUGUAGUGGUGGAAUGCGUAGAUAUCUGGAGGAACACCGGUGGCGAAGGCGGCUCUCUGGACCACAACUGACGCUGAGGCGCGAAAGCUAGGGGAGCAAACAGG